AGUAACCAAAAACAACAGCAGCAUUUGUAGUUGGGUUUGUAAUAAUACGAACGUCUCCACCUCCUGGAGCCCAUGUAUCAUAAACACCACCAAAAUACAUAGCUUUCCAUACUAAUAACCAAGCUCCAAUACCUAACAUGAUAAGGUGGUAACCUAAGAUGUUAGUCAUUUUGUUUUUGUCUUUCCA
rnacentral:antisense_RNA from 1 species